AUUGACUUGGCAGAAUAAUAUGCGAUUGAUUUAGGAUCAAUUUAUAAUAUUUGUA
rnacentral:tRNA from 1 species